rnacentral:rRNA from 1 species
CUGGGCUUGACAUCCCGAGAAUCCCCUGGAAACAGGGGAGUGCCCUUCGGGGAACUCGGAGACAGGUGCUGCAUGGCUGUCGUCAGCUCGUGUCGUGAGAUGUCGGGUUAAGUCCCGCAACGAGCGCAACCCUUGUCUUUAAUUGCCAUCAUUAAGUUGGGCACUUUAGAGAGACUGCCGGUGUUAAACCGGAGGAAGGUGGGGAUGACGUCAAGUCCUCAUGGCCUUUAUGCCCAGGGCUACACACGUGCUACAAUGGGUGGUACAAAGAGCAGCGAGCUCGCGAGAGUAAGCGAAUCUCGAAAAGCCAUCCUCAGUUCGGAUUGAAGUCUGCAACCCGACUUCAUGAAGUUGGAAUCGCUAGUAAUCGCGGAUCAGCAUGCCGCGGUGAAUACGUUCC